GUGUUUGCUUCGGCAGCACAUAUAUUAAAACUGGAACGAUACGGAGAAGAUUAACGUGGCCUCUGUGCAAAGAUGACACACAAAUUUGUGAAGCAUUCCAUAUUUUA
ensembl:snRNA U6 U6 spliceosomal RNA